GCGGAGUUUCACUGGUCUAUGACCUUCCUCUAGGAACACAUGACUGGUAAGGGACCACCUCAAGUGAGCACGUGCAAAACUCCAGUAAACAUACUGAGCAUGCGGCCCCUCCCAAGUUCAGACAGCCACCGUACACGUGGACAGUCCACUGCAAGGGAAGCAUCUGGGGAGAAAUCAUGCGAUCUGCUGGAAGUCAGCCAAUGUAUUGAGACAGCCAGGUGGGAAGGGGUCCCAAGAGAAUCUCUGAUCAGCUGCUCACUGGGAGGAAUGCGCACUGGGGUGGAGCCACAGAGGCUCACGCCACUUGCAGCGGGGAGGAGCCUGGCCCCUCCUCCUCCUGGGUGAACCUGGGAUUCAUUUCGUGAGGUGGGAAGUGCACUGGCAGGAAACACUCUCUCGCUUCACUAAGAGUCUCUGUUUCCCAUUUUCUUCCUUUCUACCCAAUAAAACCCUGCCUUUCUCAUGCUUCAAAUUGUCUAUGAGCCUCAUCUUUUGUGGCAAUGUGACAAGGACCCCGUCUUUAGCUGAACUGAGCAAAAGUCCUGCAACAGUGUGAGACCCCCAAGUCAAAGGUGAGCCAUGCACGUGAUCUCUCAGGUCUCCCGCUCGGCCUCUUCCCAGUGUACUUUCCUUCCUGUUCUAAAGCUCUUUAAUAAACUCUCACUCCUGCUCUAAGACUUGCCUCUGUCUCUCCUUCUGCUUUAUGCUCCUCAGUUGAAGUCUUUCUUCUGAGGAGGCAAGAACUGAGGUUGCUGCAGCCUCCUGUGGGUUUGCCGCAGGUAACAUGCUUUGAGGUUGCUGCAGCCCCCUGUGGGUUUGCCACUGGUAACACACUUGGAGAUUGCUGCAGCCCCCUGAGGGUUCGCCGCUGGUAACAUGCUUUGAGGUUGCUGCAGCCCCCUGUGGAUUUGCCACUGGUAAUGUACUUUGGUGGUGUGUGACUCAAAUACAUCUGCUGCUAAAAAUUUGGCUCUAUCUAGUUACAGAUAUUGCAGCUAAAUUUCUGAAAUACUAAGUCACAAAAAGUCUGCAACUGCUCCCCUAACAUAAUUGAGAGCUUUUUCAAUGACAUGAAACAUCUAAGUUGGUUUCAUGGCUCUAAAUCAAUGUGAUGAAAAGCACAUUAGACAAAACUUACGGGAGGCAGUGAGAGCCAAUCUCAGAGGGAGUUCAGCACUGUAAAUGCUGUAUUGAAGAAGGAUCUCAACUCAAUAAUCAACUUUACAUCAUAAGGAACUAAAACACUAGCAGAAGGAAGGAAAUAAUAGAGAUCAGAGCACAGACAAAAAUAGAUAACAGAAAAACAAUAAAGAAAAUCUAUUGUUUAAAAGUUGGUUCUUCAAAAAGAUCAACAAAAUUGACAAGCCUUUAGCUAACUGACAAAAAAAAAAAAGAAAGACUAUUCAAAUAACUAAAAUAAGUAAGGCAAGUGGAGACAUUACUACCGACCUCAGGGAGAUAAAAAGGAUUAUAAGAAAAUCCUAUGAACAUUUGCACACCAACAAAUUAGAUAAUCUAGAAAAAAUGAACAAAUCCCUCCAAACACACCCAGACUGACUCAGGAAGAAACAGAAAAUCUCAACAGACUUAUAAUAAGAGAUUAAAUUAGUAAUCAAAAGCCUCUUAAUAAAGAAAAAUCCUGGACUACAUGGCUUCAUCAGUGACUCCCAUCAAACAUUUAAAGAAGCAUUAGCAACAAUCCUUAUUGACUCUUCAAAAAUUUAAAGACAAAGAAACACUUCUGGGUUCACCCUAUGAGGCCAGCAUUACUCUGCUAUCAAAUCCAGAUAAAGACAUCACAAGAAAAGAAAAGUAUAGACCAAUAUCCCUUAUGAAUAUAGAUGCAAAAAUCCUCCACAAAAGAUUAGCAAAUGAAAUCCAACAGCAUAUUAAAAAGGUGACUUAUAAUGACCAAGUAGGAUUUAUGAGAGAUGCAAUGGCGGCUCACUGUGUGCAGAUCAGUCAGCGUGAUGCACAGUAUUCAGCAUUAAAAGAACAAAGGAGAAAUACCACACAACCGGCUCAAUUGACAGAGAAAAGGCAUUUGGCAAGACCCAACACUAUUUCAUGAUAAAAACUCUCAGAAAACUGAAAUAGAAAAUUCCUCAACAUGAUAAAGGGUCCUUAUGGAAAGACCCACAGCUCACGUCACAUGCAAUGGUGAGGCUGAAGCUCUCUCACUAAGACCAGGAACAAGACAAGGCCACUGCUUCCACUGCUGCUAUUCCACCA
rnacentral:lncRNA from 1 species